rnacentral:rRNA from 1 species
UACGUAGGGGGCGAGCGUUGUCCGGAUUCAUUGGGCGUAAAGAGCUCGUAGGCGGCUUGGUAAGUCGGGUGUGAAACCUCCAGGCUCAACCUGGAGACGCCACUCGAUACUGCCAUGGCUAGAGUCCGGUAGGGGCCCACGGAAUUCCUGGUGUAGCGGUGAAAUGCGCAGAUAUCAGGAGGAACACCGGUGGCGAAGGCGGUGGGCUGGGCCGGAACUGACGCUGAGGAGCGAAAGCCAGGGGAGCAAACGGG